rnacentral:tRNA from 1 species
GGGAAGGUGGCUCAGUGGUAGAGUGCUUGCCUUGCAUGCAUGAGGCCCUGGGUUUGAU